CCAGACUCCUACGGGAGGCAGCAGUGGGGGAUAUUGCACAAUGGGGGGAACCCUGAUGCAGCGACGCCGCGUGGGUGAAGGAGUAUUUCGGUAUGUAAAGCCCUAUCGGCAGGGAAGAAGCAAGACGGUACCUGACUAAGAAGCCCCGGCUAACUACGUGCCAGCAGCCGCGGUAAUACGUAGGGGGCAAGCGUUAUCCGGAUUUACUGGGUGUAAAGGGAGCGUAGGCGGCAGUGCAAGUCAGAAGUGAAAGCCCGGGGCUCAACUCCGGGACUGCUUUUGAAACUGUACAGCUUGAUUGCAGGAGAGGCAAGUGGAAUUCCUAGUGUAGCGGUGAAAUGCGUAGAUAUUAGGAGGAACACCGGUGGCGAAGGCGGCCUGCUGGACUGCGACUGACGUUGAGGCCCGAAAGCGUGGGGAGCAAACAGGAUUAGAUACCCGCGUAGA
rnacentral:rRNA from 1 species